ACAUACGACCAUAGGUACUAGAGAACUCGGCAUCCCGUCCGCUCUGCCCUAGAUAAACUAGUAACCGCCAGCCUAGUAGUCGGAUCGGUGACGAUCUGAUAACUACGCAGCGUUGUGAUUU
rnacentral:rRNA from 1 species